rnacentral:rRNA from 1 species
GUCUACAUUACGAUACCCCUGUAGUCCCAGCCGUAAACUAUGCUCGCUAGGUGUCAGGCAUGGCGCGACCGUGUCUGGUGCCGCAGGGAAGCCGUGAAGCGAGCCACCUGGGAAGUACGGCCGCAAGGCUGAAACUUAAAGGAAUUGGCGGGGAGCACCACAACGGGUGGAGCCUGCGGUUUAAUUGGACUCAACGCCGGGAAGCUCACCGGAUAAGACAGCGGAAUGAUUGCCGGGCUGAAGACUCUGCAUGACUAGCUG